rnacentral:rRNA from 1 species
AUUGAACGCUGGCGGCAGGCUUAACACAUGCAAGUCGAGCGGGGGAAGGUAGCUUGCUACUGGACCUAGCGGCGGACGGGUGAGUAAUGCUUAGGAAUCUGCCUAUUAGUGGGGGACAACAUCUCGAAAGGGAUGCUAAUACCGCAUACGUCCUACGGGAGAAAGCAGGGGAUCUUCGGACCUUGCGCUAAUAGAUGAGCCUAAGUCGGAUUAGCUAGUUGGUGGGGUAAAGGCCUACCAAGGCGACGAUCUGUAGCGGGUCUGAGAGGAUGAUCCGCCACACUGGGACUGAGACACGGCCUAGACUCCUACGGGAGGCAGCAGUGGGGAAUAUUGGACAAUGGGGGGAACCCUGAUCCAGCCAUGCCGCGUGUGUGAAGAAGGCCUUAUGGUUGUAAAGCACUUUAAGCGAGGAGGAGGCUACUUUAGUUAAUACCUAGAGAUAGUGGACGUUACUCGCAGAAUAAGCACCGGCUAACUCUGUGCCAGCCGCCGCCGUAAUAC